UGGGCUAAACGGUUGGUCAUGUCCCAAGAGGCACGAGUGGCCAAAGGUCACGAGUUACCAAGGGUUGUGUGUGAUGUCCCGUGGGCUGUUUGUUCAGUACACACAGGACGUCUGUGGGUGUCCGUCAGCAAACACAGGACGUCCGUGUGUGUCCGUCAGCACACACAGGGCAUCUGUGGCUGCCCAAACUGAUCUGCGGCCUUAUCCUUUCAAUCUAAGUCCGAGUUAACCAAGUUUUAAUUCUUAUCUUUGUAAAUUCAAUUCAAUUCAACUGAGGUUCAAUACAAUAAAUCUAAACAAGGAAACAUAAGGGGCAAAUCAAUUGUAUAAAUAUAAACUGAGAUUCAUACAUCAUUCUUAGGUUCGUCCUAAUAAGUUAUACACACUUAGUCUAACAUAAGUUCACAAGUUGCACAAUAGGCUAUCAGUAUUUCACAUCUAUCUACAAUGACCCAUUCACCACACAUCUUCUCAUGGCCUGAGUCUUCACGGUGCCUUUCCCUUACCACGGUCCAUGUCCGAUCCUGAAACUACACAAGACACAAUGCACAUUCAUAAGGCCGAUAUCCUAACAUCAAGUCUAGAUAAGCAUGGUUCGGCUACUUAGAAUCUAUAACCUGUCCAAACCAACAUACUCAAAUAAAUUCCCAAAAACUAAUUAAAAUUCAUGAUAAUCUCUGAUAACUCCAAACUAAGAGAUUCCCGUAAACAGUUUCCAGAAAGAGAGAGUUUCCGGCCAAAGCAAACCGGCCACAAGCCCGAUCGGAUCAUCAGCCGUCUCGGGCCGAUCACUUGCCGUCCACACCACUGACCUUAGGCGUUCUCUCCCCAGGCGCCAUCUCCAUCUCUUUUUCCUUCUCUCUGUCUCUCUGUCUGGUAUCCAUCUCCUCAGGCCUUGCUUCCCACGAUCCGGUUUCUCCUGGAACAGCCAAGCCUCUCGCUGGUUCUCUCCUUGGAUCGCCGGUACUAAUACCUAAAGCAGUAAACCAAAUACCUACUACCGGCCAAGCCGCUAAGAAGAAAUGUAAAGAACGAGAAUUGUUGAAACUAGCAUAUUGGAAGAUCAAUCGGCCAAAAUAACCGUGAGCAGCUACAAUGUUGUAAGUUUCUUCUUCUUGACCGAAUCUGUAACCUUCAUUAGCAGAUUCAUUUUCUGUAGUUUCCCUGAUCAAACUAGAAGUUACCAAAGAACCAUGAUACGC